rnacentral:rRNA from 1 species
AGAGUUUGAUCCUGGCUCAGAAUCAACGCUGGCGGCGUGCCUAACACAUGCAAGUCGCACGAGAAAGUGGAGCAAUCCAUGAGUAAAGUGGCGCACGGGUGAGUAACACGUGAAUCAUCUACCUCCGAGUGGGGAAUAACUGAGAGAAAUCUUAGCUAAUACCGCAUAAUACCCACGGGUCAAAGCAGCAAUGCGCUUGGAGAGGAGUUCGCGGCCGAUUAGUUAGUUGGCGGGGUAAUGGCCCACCAAGACGAUGAUCGGUAUCCGGCCUGAGAGGGCGCACGGACACACUGGAACUGAAACACGGUCCAGACUCCUACGGGAGGCAGCAGUGGGGAAUUUUGCGCAAUGGGGGAAACCCUGACGCAGCAACGCCGCGUGGAGGAUGAAAUCCCUUGGGAUGUAAACUCCUUUCGAUAGGGAAGAUAAUGACGGUACCUA